ACUCUUUUCUGUAAUUGUUGGCUUCUUGCUUGGGGCAAGUGAUGGUCUAGCGAGAUUCAUUCUGUUGAUGCUGUUCAUGAGCUUUUUGAGCAGUUUCCUGAAGCUUUCAUGAAGUAUCUUCAUGUGCCAACCAAAGAGAGUUCUUUUUAUGCUUCCAAUCAGG